UCGAGCGCCUCGCAAGAGGAGCGGCAGACGGGUGAGUAGCGCGUGGGAAUCUACCCAUCUCUACGGAACAACUCCGGGAAACUGGAGCUAAUACCGUAUACGUCCUUCGGGAGAAAGAUUUAUCGGGNAUGGAUGAGCCCGCGUUGGAUUAGCUAGUUGGUGGGGUAAUGGCCUACCAAGGCGACUAUCCAUAGCUGGUCUGAGAGGAUGAUCAACCACACUGGGACUGAGACACGGCCCAUACUCCUACGG
rnacentral:rRNA from 1 species